ensembl:lncRNA
AGGGGCGCCAGGGGUAGGCCUCUCCCUUUGCUUUCGCUGGCUGCUGGAGGCGCGGUGUGGCUGGCCUGGUCGCCCGACCCCCGUCCGGGGCUGCCGGGUGCGCCACGUGGUGCGCACGUGGUCCCGUCCCGGCGCGGAGGCUCCCUUCCUCCCCCUCACGGCGCCGGCGGCCAGCAGCGCCCCCUGGCGGCGGCCCCACGCGCCGCACCGCUCGUCGCGCCUGCGCACCAAGCGUCACGACGCGCCUUCCGGUCUUCGAGAGACCGGGCGUGGGUCGGUUGCGUCCUUGCGACAACCGCGCGUCCGUCCGCCAGGGGUCUCGGAGAGGGGAGCUGCGGGCAACCCGCCCAAGAGAGAGAGGGAGACACAGAACCUGAAGCAGGCUCCAGGCCCUGAGCUGUCAGCACAGAGCCCGAUGAGAGGCUUGAACUCACUGACUGUGAGUGAGAUCAUGACCUGAGCCAAAGUCUGACACUCAACCGACUGGGCCACCCAGGCGCCUCCCUGACUAAUUCCUAAACCCAGAGCCAGUCUCUAGUUGAAAUUCGCCCAUAAUCUGUCAAACUGAGUUACUUCCCAAUAAACUUCUUGUUAAAUGUAAUUAAUAUGUGAUACGAACGUUGGUUGAUAUUACAUUAAUGAGUAAGACAGAAAUGAAGCCAAAAAGAAUUUCAUCAGUGAAGUGAACAAUUUCUUGGCCAAAUUAGAUCACGGUUUUCCAAUAGUCAACAAAUGCAGUUUUUCCUCAAUGUUUUGUGCUGUUUACAGUAUAAAGGAUACAGACUUGACACAUUUUUGUCAAAAUGUUGACAAUAUUUUAAAUUCAACUACAUUAUUAAUUUUCUCCAUUAUUUUAAGUUUAGACUGGGGGGUGGGGAGUUUUCCACAAAGGGUCAGAUGGGAAGUAUUUUAGGUUUUUUUCUUUCGUUUUGUUUUUUAACACCAUUUAAAAACAUAAAAGCCAUUCUUAGCUCCACCAAAGGCCAUGUUCAACCUUCAGUCUCUGAACUGUAGCAUUUUCAGAUUUCCACAAUAUAGAUAUUUCUCUGAUGCCUGAUGGCAAGCGGCAAAUCUGGAGUGCCUGACCCAACAUGGAGUGUGUGACUGCAGGCUUGGGGACGGGAUUUCCAGCAUAUGGAUCCAAUUGAUGGAAAUAACCUAAGGCACAUAGGUCACGGUAGGAUAAUUGGGAAGUAAUGUGUUUUGAAACCUUGUUACCAAUAGUACCGACUUCACCGUAAACUUCUAUAAUUUAAUUUUUGAUAAUGUCUGUUUAACCGCAAGCCCACAGAAUUCCUGAAAAAUUAACAUUUGAUUCUCAUGCACCAGCUCCAGCUCGCCCUGGCCUCCCUCCAAGUGGAGAUGGGGGUGGGCAAGCUAGACUUCUGGGUUGGUCAGGGAUGUUCAGUGUCUUCACCCGGGUUCCACUUAGGCGCACCCCAAGGUGACCCCCAGUGAGUCAGUGCCCUGUAUCAUCCUCUCCCUGUGAGUCUGAGUCAGACCCAUCAUGGGCUUCGUUAGAAUUUGCUGGAUGGUGUAGGCUGUCAUUCCCUUGACUGCAUCCCAUUGUAUGUGAAGGAUGAUGGAUGGCACCCCAAUCACGCCCUUGAUCCCAUGAUGUCUGGAGAUGGACUCUCCUGCUGGCCUUGCAGGAGCAACAGCCUCAUGAAGAGCCCCUGGAGAGGGCCAGGUGGUAGGGGACUGUGGGCAGCCUCUAGGACCCGAGGAUGGCCUCCAGCCAACAACCAGGAGGAAGCAGGGGCCCUCGGUCCCGUGGUCACAAGAACAGGCAUCUGCCAGCAACCUGAAUGAGCCAGAAAGAGUGGAGCUUCCAGACGAGAGUACAGUCCAGCCCCCACCCAGAUUGCAGCCACAGGGACCCUGUGCUGGACCAGCCGAGCUGAGCUGUGACUCCCACUGGGUAGAAGCGGAAGCAACAAGUGUUAAGUUACUAACUGCAUGCUCGGUUGUUACUUUGCAAUAGAAAGUGAAUACAUCGUUAUCUGCUAC